rnacentral:lncRNA from 1 species
GGGUGGAAACUGUCAUUUUAAUUGUGGCUUGAAAUCGUUAAUCAUCGGCUUCCAUCUAUCAAGAGGAGCAAUACUGGAAUACUGUCGUAAACAAUCACAAGAAACCCCAGGCAUUCUUGGUGGCUUUUACUUCAGAGAUGCUGGCAUUUAGGAGGGGCCAGAUCUGAGAGUCAUCUGAAGGCCAAUACUAU